rnacentral:rRNA from 1 species
GGUAGGGUGGACCUGCCGUUGGAUCAGU